GUGGUGUCCGUUUAGAAUAAAAAUUUUUAUGUGAGGAGGGAGAUAGGAUUGAGAGUUAUA
rnacentral:tRNA from 1 species